UCUUGAACAACUUCGAGAGGUGUACCGC
rnacentral:sRNA from 1 species